rnacentral:pre_miRNA from 1 species
AUUGGGAUAGCUGGGUAAAAUGGUGGUUCCAUUCCCAAAUUUCCAAGGAAUCUCCAUACUGCUUUCCAUAUUGGCUGCACCAAUUUGCAGCCCUACCAGCAAU